rnacentral:rRNA from 1 species
AACGAACGCUGGCGGCAGGCUUAACACAUGCAAGUCGAGCGCCUCGCAAGGGGAGCGGCAGACGGGUGAGUAACGCGUGGGAAACUACCCUUUGGUACGGAAUAACACAGAGAAAUUUGUGCUAAUACCGUAUGUGCCCUUCGGGGGAAAGAUUUAUCGCCAUGGGAUGUGCCCGCGUCGGAUUAGCUAGUUGGUGUGGUAAUGGCGCACCAAGGCGACGAUCCGUAGCUGGUCUGAGAGGAUGACCAGCCACAUUGGGACUGAGACACGGCCCAAACUCCUACGGGAGGCAGCAGUGGGGAAUAUUGGACAAUGGGCGCAAGCCUGAUCCAGCCAUGCCGCGUGAGUGAUGAAGGCCUUAGGGUUGUAAAGCUCUUUCACCCACGACGAUAAUGACGGUAGUGGGAGAAGAAGCCCCGGCUAACUUCGUGCCAGCCGCCGCCGUAACAC